rnacentral:rRNA from 1 species
UGGGGAAUUUUGGACAAUGGGCGAAAGCCUGAUCCAGCAAUGCCGCGUGUGUGAAGAAGGCCUUCGGGUUGUAAAGCACUUUUGUCCGGAAAGAAAUCCUUGGCUCUAAUACAGUCGGGGGAUGACGGUACCGGAAGAAUAAGCACCGGCUAACUACGUGCCAGCAGCCGCGGUAAUACGUAGGGUGCAAGCGUUAAUCGGAAUUACUGGGCGUAAAGCGUGCGCAGGCGGUUUGCUAAGACCGAUGUGAAAUCCCCGGGCUCAACCUGGGAACUGCAUUGGUGACUGGCAGGCUAGAGUAUGGCAGAGGGGGGUAGAAUUCCACGUGUAGCAGUGAAAUGCGUAGAGAUGUGGAGGAAUACCGAUGGCGAAGGCAGCCCCCUGGGCCAAUACUGACGCUCAUGCACGAAAGCGUGGGGAGCAAACAGGAUUAGAUACUCUGGUAGUCCACGCCCUAAAACGAUGUCAACUAGUUGUUGGGGAUUCAUUUCCUUAGUAACGUAGCUAACGCGUGAAGUUGACCGCCUGGGGAGUACGGUCGCAAGAUUAAAAACUUAAAUGAAUUGACGGGGUCUAGCUG